AUUUAACGCUAGCGGGAUGCCUUACACAUGCAAGUCGAACGCCGUGGCGAACGGGUGAGUAAUGUAUCGUAACGUGCCCAGUAGCGGGGUAUAACUACCCGAAAGCGUAGCUAAUACCGCCUACUAUUGGAUCGGCCGAUAUCGGCUUAGUUAGUUGGUGGUGUAACGGCCCAACAAGGCGACGAGCCGUAGCUGGUUUGAGAGGACGACCAGCCAAAAUGUGACUGAGAAAAGGCCCAGACGCCGACGGGAGGCAGCAGUGGGGAAGUUUGGACAAUGGGGGAAACCCUGAUCCAGCCAUCCCGCGUGUGAGAUGAAGGCCUUCGGGUUGUAAAGCACUUUUGGCAGGAAAGCGGUACCUGCAGAAUAAGCACCGGCUAACUACGUGCCAGCAGCCGCGGUAAUUC
rnacentral:rRNA from 1 species